GGCUGCGUGGGGGUUAGGGCAUGGCUCAGAACCCAGAGCCUUGCCCGUCCUGCCUGCAUUAAUCAUAAAGCCUCCCAUCCCGAGAGUGACUACCCGUGUGGGCAGCUGGUUUUCCUUUUCCUCCUGGCUCCCAUCUGGGGCAGGGACCAUGGUGGGGAUCGGAGCCUCCUACCUCAACAGGGAGCAAUGAAUCCAGACGGAGCAAAGGGACCCGAUGGCCAUGGGGAGCCACCGCUUCCUGGGCUGGCAUAAAAGAGCCAAGCUCUCUGCAUCCUGCCCCCACGACAGCCUGGAACCCAGGAGUUCUGGCCCCCAGAGGUGCCCCUCUCCCAAGCCUCUUCGCUGCUCUGCGAUCAGCCUCAUCUGCGAGCUGCCUCCCUGGGACCGGGGAGCUCUGCCCGCAGGGGCCACGAGGGAUGGCAGCAGCUUGGAGCUUGGUCCUGCUGCUGCUGCUGUGGGGCCAGU